GAAGCAGCUCUCCUGGCCAGAGACUGCCGGUCCACAAUUGAUCCUAAAUGGGAAAAACAAUGAAGACACCCAUUGGAGCUUUAAUCACAUUCUUGUGGCUGCAGCUGGAUGGUGUCAGCCUGGGAAAUGAGGUGGAGCAGGGUCCUUCUACCCUGAGUGUCCAGGAGGGAAACAGCUCUGUUAUCACCUGUACUUAUAGAGACACAGCUUCAGACUACUUCCCUUGGUAUAAACAAGAACCUGGGAAAGGUCCCCAGCUCCUUAUAGCUAUUCUUUCAAAUCAGGGCAAAGAAGAAGACCAGAGACUGACUGUUUUACUGAAUAAGACAGCCAAACGUCUCUCCCUGCACAUCGCAACCACUGAAGCUGGAGACUCAGCUGUCUACUUCUGUGCAGCAAGGACACAGUGCUUCCCAGGCAUCUUCUGUCUGUACUCAAACCUGUGACUGGGGCAGCCCCUUUCCUUUGGUGCAACCUUCAAAUAUGACAAAUGUUAUAUUGUUUGUCUGCAGGUGGAAACUGAUGUGCUAGUCAUAAAAAGCAUGUGAAAGAAAGUGAAAGUCACUCAGUUGUGUCCAACUCUUUGCUACGCCAUGGAUAUAGUCCAUGGAGUUCUCCAGGCCAGAAUACUGGAAUGAGUAGCCUUUCCCUUCUCCAGGGGAUCUUCCCCACCCAGGAAUCAAACCCAGGUCUCCCAAUUGCAGGCAGAUUCUUUACCUGCUGAACCACAGGGGAAGCCCAAGAAUACUGGAGUGGGUAGUCUAUUCCUUCUCCAGGGGAUCUUCCCCACCCAGGAAUUGAACUGGGGUCUCCAGCAUUGCAGGCAGAUUCUUUACCCACUGAGCUAUCAGGGAAGCCAUAAAAAGCAUUGGAUAAGAAUAUUAGGCUCAAGGGUAGCUAGAAAGGGUUAGAACAUGUUGUUGGAUACCUGUUGCUUACUGAAUUCUUGAAGAGAGUUAGUAAUUUACUGAUUUAUUUUGAAAUUGUAAGACCGACUUUACAUUUUGCCAUUCUGACUCCUCUUCUACAAAUACUCCCCCUGUUAUCCAUAUCACAAGCCUUAUUAUGGAUGGGUUUUUAAAAUAUUGUGCUUUGAAAACAGCAUAUUUUUCUGAUUAUACAAAUUAUAUGCCAAAUAUAAGAAAAUGCUUUAUAUAAUUAAUAUGAUAUUGAAAAUUCUAUGAUCACACAAUGUUGCUAAUAUUCAGUUUACUCUUUUUAUAAAUU